rnacentral:rRNA from 1 species
UACGUAGGGUCCGAGCGUUGUCCGGAAUUAUUGGGCGUAAAGGGCUCGUAGGCGGUUUGUCGCGUCGGGAGUGAAAACCUACAGCUUAACUGUGGGCUUGCUUUCGAUACGGGCAGACUUGAGGCAUGCAGGGGGAGAACGGAAUUCCUGGUGUAGCGGUGGAAAUGCGCAGAUAUCAGGAGGAACACCGGUGGCGAAGGCGGAUCUCUGGGCCGAUACUGACGCUGAGGAGCGAAAGCGUGGGGAGCGAACAGG